AAAAAGCGCUUCUUUUGUAAGUGGCACACAUAGGGCAACUCACUUGCUCUGCAUAUGGAGUCGACACCAAGAGAUUUCAGAAGCAUAGUUUUUUGGUACCUGGGCAGCUGGUGAUAGUUGGUCCUGGCACCCCU
rnacentral:snRNA from 1 species